rnacentral:rRNA from 1 species
UACGUAGGGGGGCAAGCGUUGUCCGGAUUUAUUGGGCGUAAAGAGCGUGUAGGCGGCCAGGGAGGUCCGUUGUGAAAACUCGAGGCUCAACCUCGAGACGCCGAUGGAAACCCCCUGGCUAGAGUCCGGAAGAGGAGAAUGGAAUUCCUGGUGUAGCGGUGAAAUGCGCAGAUAUCAGGAAGAACACCCGUGGCUAAGGCGGUCUCUAGUACGGUACUGA